CUGGUAGAUGAACUUGUCCUGGUAACAAACUCUCACAAAGGUGUACAUUUAUAUAUGUAUAUCUUCUCAUUGUUUUAAGGUUAAUGCUUUUGAAACUUAUCUUCCCACAUAAAACCUGGUUAUGCCUAAUAGAGUAUUAUUUGCAACUGUUCUGCUUUAUCUUGAACUGUGAAGUUAAAUGGAGGAGGAAGCUGAGCUGAAACAACUUAGAUUUAAAAGGUCAGCAAUUUUUUAGUUCCUUAUGAAGGCUCUGAAAUGUUUGUGGAGAUCAUCACUGCUUCGAGUGAAGAUCCAGCUUGCAUUCCAGACAUGAUCUACUUUACUGCUUCAAGUUACAUUGUCAUUUUUUUAACCAUUUCACCAGUAUGUGGAAACUAAAAUAAAAGAUGAGGAAAAUGAUGCUU